AAAGAAGAGCGAGAGAAGGCACUGUGCUUGCGCAUAGGAGGGGGGGCGAGGGGCAAAGAGGGCGUGACAUUGGGGCUGCCGGACUGCCUUGUCAUGCCUCCGUCUGCUCUCGCUGCUCCUUCACUGCACUCAUUCGGGAACAAGCACACAUGUUCCUUUAUGCUGUAGCAACUGCACCGACGAGUUGCUUGUGCACGUUGUGCCCGCUUACUGCGCCACGCAUCUCAAUACACAUGGGCGUUCACCCCCCCCCCUUCAUACGUACAAGUGAACGAAAAAACGGAAAAGGCUCGUCGACUUGCCUGGUAACACGUAUCUGCUUUGCGCGGUUUUGCCCUUUUCAAAGGAGAGUGGCUCGAGCCCGCUCACGAGCAGCGCCAAACGAAAGGUGCCUUGAUGCGCGGUACACGUCUAUGGCGGCUGCGGGUGUCUCUGGCCGUUCGUAAUGGCGCUCGUGCCACACAGGCGGAGUCCCUGGGCCGUCGCUGGGCGGACCUGGAUGCAGCACGCCCAGCCAAUCUCACCGGUCCUGCCACGGAGCUGUUGAGGGAGACGAUAGCACAUCUCCAGGAGUCUGCUCCAGCGCUGAAGUCAUCGAGCGCCUCCUUGCCUGCUGCGGCGUCAUCAUCAUUAUCCACCUCGCCGCCUCUUCUAAGCACGCGGGAGAGCGCCCAGCACAUCUGGCGGUCGCUUCGGCGGCAGCGGGUACCGUGGCAGGACGCCUUGGCGUUACUGCCGUGGCAGCUGCAAGCUAUGACGCCGGCGCAGCGGCAAUUUCUGAGUUCACAGGCUGCACGGACGCCUGCUAGGGUCGCUAGCCUGGCCUUAGCCGCGUGGGACAUGCACGAGGACGCAGCGCUGGUGCAGCAGUACCGUUCCCUGAAGCGCUCCGCCUACAUGGUGGACUACGCGCGUCUCGUCUCAGCGGCCCUGCGAGAGCGACCUUCGCUGCCAAAUGGUCUUCUGCCGGUUCCGUACGGUGUCGUGGAGCACGGCUACGCGCUUGGCCUUUGCUCGCCGCAGGACGCGAAGAUCGCGCUGGCGCUAAGCAAGCACAUGACGCUCCUGGGUCGGGAGGCGCUGACGCGUGAGGCGGAGGAGUGCUUAGUGCUCCGUCACGCCGCCCUGGAAGGCCUCGCGGGCCACUGGCAGGCUGCGUUGGGUAUUGUGCAGCAUAGUCGCGCGGUGCGCCUCUCCGCGCGCGAAGGCAUGAAGCGUUACGUUCGGUCACUGCUGACGCGACAGGGUGGUGUCCCACUCACCACGGAUGCGCCACUCGCGCGGUCCUGUGAUUCCUCGGUUUCGAAACACGGCGACGCUCGGGCCGGCCCUCGGAAUGAAAAGGCCGCGCCAGCGGAGUUUGCCGCCGAAGCACCGUUGCGCCGCGAAGACACCUCCGCUAACUGGGUGGACGCUCUUUGCGCCUUUCUCUCAAAAGAACCGCACACGCAAACGUACCCGGCGCUCGUCACGUGCUCGAAAGCCUUCCGCCGGAGGUGAUGGGUAACCGCACGUACCUCCUGUUGGCCUCAACGGUGCUGCACUGCUGCGCGCGACGCAUGUUCGCUGGGACCUUGACCAGGCGAGUCGCAAGCUACGUUGCCAACGCAAAUUGGGCCAUGGCGCUAGCGCUCACGUGUGCGGCGCAGUACUACGACGUGGCGGCGCCGCUCAUUCCUCUCGCAACAAAGGCAGCAGCGGUGGAACGACGGGUGUGCUUGACGUCCCACCGGAACUGCGUGCAUACGUGGCAGCAGUGAGGCACUCACAGCAGGAGGAGCGGCCGGCGGCGGCAGAGACUUCGUCUCUAACCGUGACAGAGGCCGCCGCUCUCACGUAUCCCGAGGCACUCGCACACGCGCUGACGGCCACGUCGCCCGCCACAUGGCGGACCCUUCUGCUCUCCUGCCCCCACGCCGGCCCUCCGACGCGUCUGCGCUACUUCCUGCUCGCUGCGUGCGGCGAGGCUCGCGACGCCACCCUCUUCGAGCGCACCAGCGUCAGCCGAUGCGCAGAAGACCGUAUCGAGUGCUGCACGUUCCAAUCUUGUGCGGUCUCACGACUUAUCUGCGCCGCGGCAGAGCCGCGCAAUCAGCAGUACUUUUUCAAGGUCAUCCCUGCCUCGGCUCGUGCGCACCAUUUCGAGCGAUCGCCGCUGAUAAACGCACCAACACGAGAGCUGGGGCCAGGGCUAGGCACAGGGCAGCGUAUUCCAGCAGCUGCAGCCGCCACAACGGAGGCCGCUCAAGCCCUUUCGAAUUCGGCAGCCGGGGCGCCGGCAGAGUCGGCGUUGAUGGCAGUAUCUGUAACAGCGGCAAGGGCGCGGCUGCAAACCUGGAGGCGCCAAACGGUGACGACACCAGAGGAGUGCACGCAGCUCCUGGCGGACGUGUCCCUAUACCUCAGAGCGACGCACAGGGUCGAGGGUGCCGUCAUCUCCGCCCACCAACAGCCUCGUCUCACCGAGGAUGUCUUUCUCAAGGCCGUCGCCGCCCUCGCUGCGAGUGGGGUGUUGCAGCUCGCGCCCCCGGAGCGCUUUCACUGGCCACUCGCAGUGUUGAAGACGGCGAGGCUGCUCCGCGUCCAAGUGGACGCUUCUCUCAUGGCCGCCACGGCGCGCACGAUUCCAUCCAUGUUUGUGGACCGCACCGGGCUCGCCCUCCCCUCCAUCCUUGGUGCCCACACGCUGCUGGGUGACUGGAAAGCUGGCCUGCAGCUCUGCACGCGACUGUUGCGCAAACAGCAGGAUGGCGAGAUCGAAGUAGACGCAGACACACCGCGCGUAGGAAAGCCGCAGACGCACCGGUUCACGGCGCCGCCACCGACGCUUCUGGAGGCGAUGGCACAGGUCGGCUAUGCCUCACCCGCAGCAGUAGCGGUGCGCCACUGGCAAACACUGGAGGCUUCCAGCGCGUCCACCCUCGCCUCGCUGCACAGCGAGAGGUCCUGCGCACUUCCACUUCUGCUGUUGGAGCUGCAGCAGUUCCACGACGAACGGCAGCUCUGUGAAGAGGUACGCCACCUGUGCGCGGGACGACGCCGUGGCAGUCCUCAGCAAAAGCUGAACGCCCUGUCGCGUCGCCGGAUGUUGCUGGGGGCUGCGUUCUGUCUGCUGGACAACGAGGCUGCGCUGCGGCGGGUGUUGCGGGCAGCGGGGAAGGAGAGGGCGCGCUCGGCAGACGUGGACACGCACGGUCUCCAGCGCCUGCUCCGCGUUGUGCAACCUACGGACGCCGCGCAGGUCCUUGCCGCAGAGGCGCGCGAGGGGCGCUGCGCGCAUGAGCAUUGGCUUUGCGAGGUGAUGAGCCGUUCUGACGUCGCCGCCGACGCCGCCGGCGAGCUGGCGCGGCUUCGACCGUUUUCGGCGACGCUCUCUGCGCUGUGGUUCUUCAAACAGGCUGCGGCAGCGCAAGACGCGGCGGGGUGCCUGAAGGGAUUGGUUCGACUGGCGGAGCGGGCGAGCGAGUGCCCUUAUCCGGAUGGGCUGCUUCUGUCGCUCCUGCGCCUGCUGCGCCUUUUUCUCUCGCACGGCGGACUUCUCUCUGCGAGCGUGGUCACGCGUGAGAUGGCGGAGGGCAAGGGGCCUGCUAAACUACCUCGCUCCACCGUUUUAGCGCUGGCCUGUAAGCUCUUCAACAGGAUGCAGGAGAUGCAGAGGCUGAGUCUGCCUCUCAAGGCUGCCCGCCGCGUACUGCGCCGAGCGAGCGACGCACAUCUUCCUGACGCUCAUGCUGUUGCUGGAGACACCGAUGCUGUCUGCCCAGGCAAGUCUCCGGCAGCUCCGUGCGCCGUGUGGGCCCUGCUCGGGGUCCUACACUCAACUGCAAGCAGCGUCCUUCAAGUACCCGUGCCUGCAUCCUUCACGUCUUCCCUGCUUUCCCGCGUUGUGGAGACGAACAGGGCAGCGGAUUGGUGGACUGCCUUGCUGUUCUUCCAGAGUAUUCGACACCCGACUAUGCAGGAGCGGGCCUUGCUCGUGCGGGCUCUCCGGCACUGCGGCGGUGCUGCAACGCCCAUUCUCCUCUCUAACCGCCGCUUUCUACGUGACUGCCCUGAGCAAGUAGUGAUAUGGGCCGACGAGGCAAGCGGACAGUCGAAGUGGUCGCAGUCCUUGACCCUCCUUGAGCAUGCGCAGGAGGUGGAGCGGCGCACGACAGCGUCGGCGGCGGAAGCUGACCAGGACGCGAGCGACUCCAUGGAACCUGCGCGUGCGCCGGCGUCGCCGCUCUCACCGGCGGUGGUGGCCAUCAUUCGCGGCUGGAAUGCCGACGAGCGACUGCGGUGCGGCGAGCUUCUCCGGCGUCAGGGCUUUAUCGCGACAGGAUCAUCGAAGAACGGCACACCGCUCGAUGACGCGCGUGUGACGAAGAUGGCGAACCCUCGGGCCCAGCGGCAAGCAGAAGCGAUUCUGCAACUUCUGAAGGAAAAGCCAUCUGCCGCGGUACCCUUCAUCAAUGCGCCGCCGAGGCUCGAUGCUCACCAUCCCGGUGUGAGGGCGGCGCGCCGGAAUGACGAAUGACGCUGGCGCACUUUUGCGUCCCGACAUGGGUACAUUGUUGCGAAGCUGCUUUGGCACGUUGGAUGCGCCCGUCUCGAGCAUCACGGUGGCGUUGCGUCCCAUGCCUCCCUUGAUUGGCGCGGUCACCACAGAGACAGCCCGUACCGUUCACAUCCCGGCCCCACACCCUGUCGUGCUUUCGCUCGAUGCCGCGCCUGUGUGAUGACUGCGACUCUCUCUCUCUCUUGUUCAAUACGUUGCGCCAACAACGAGCACAUAACUUUUCUCGCCGAGAAGUAACAGCGAUGAGAUGCGCACGACAGUCGCUUCUCCGUGAGUCCCGGCUGCCUUUGCAGUUCGCAGGCGACCACACGAAUCCAGCAGUCAGCCAAGUGUGCGCGCCUUGCGAAUCUGAAAAACGCCCUUCAGCGGUGCUGCUUGACGCGCGUGAACGUGUGCGUCGACGCUUUGCUGCCCUCUCCCUCGCUCCGCUGUACUCCUCGUUCCCCCGCACUUCUCUGUAUCUCCGCCCCCGCGGGGCUUCGACGACAUUCCGCGGUGCCUCACACACCCAUACAG
rnacentral:misc_RNA from 1 species